AGAGUUUGAUCCUGGCUCAGGACGAACGCUGGCGGCGUGCUUAACACAUGCAAGUCGAACGGAAAGGCCCUUCGGGGUACUCGAGUGGCGAACGGGUGAGUAACACGUGGGUGAUCUGCCCUGCGCUUUGGGAUAAGCCUGGGAAACUGGGUCUAAUACCGAAUAUGACCAUGCGCCUCCUGGUGUGUGGUGGAAAGCUUUUGCGGUGUGGGAUGGGCCCGCGGCCUAUCAGCUUGUUGGUGGGGUAAUGGCCUACCAAGGCGACGACGGGUAGCCGGCCUGAGAGGGUGACCGGCCACACUGGGACUGAGAUACGGCCCAGACUCCUACGGGAGGCAGCAGUGGGGAAUAUUGCACAAUGGGCGCAAGCCUGAUGCAGCGACGCCGCGUGAGGGAUGACGGCCUUCGGGUUGUAAACCUCUUUCAGCACAGACGAAGCGCAAGUGACGGUAUGUGCAGAAGAAGGACCGGCCAACUACGUGCCAGCAGCCGCGGUAAUACGUAGGGUCCGAGCGUUGUCCGGAAUUACUGGGCGUAAAGAGCUCGUAGGUGGUUUGUCGCGUUGUUCGUGAAAACUCACAGCUUAACUGUGGGCGUGCGGGCGAUACGGGCAGACUUGAGUACUGCAGGGGAGACUGGAAUUCCUGGUGUAGCGGUGGAAUGCGCAGAUAUCAGGAGGAACACCGGUGGCGAAGGCGGGUCUCUGGGCAGUAACUGACGCUGAGGAGCGAAAGCGUGGGGAGCGAACAGGAUUAGAUACCCUGGUAGUCC
rnacentral:rRNA from 1 species